UUAAAACUCGCUGGAAUUGACGGGGACCCGCACAAGCGGUGGAUGAUGUGGACACCCGAUGCAACGCGAAAACUUACCUACCCUUGACAUGUCUGGAAUCCCGAAGAGAUUUGGGAGUGCCUGCAAGAGAACCGGAACACGGGUGCUGCAUGGCUGUCAGCCGCUCGUGUCGUGAGAUGUUGGGUUAAGUCCGCAACGAGCGCAACCCUUGUCAUUAGUUGCUACAAAAGGGCACUCAAUGAUUCGCCGGUGACAAACCGGAGGAAGGUGGGGAUGACGUCAAGUCCCCGCGGCCCUUAUGGGUAGGCCGACACGCUACACAAUGGUCGGGACAGAGGACUCAACCCGCGAGGGGGAGCCAAUCCCAGAAACCCAUCGUAACCGGAUCGCAGUCUGCAACUCGACUGCGUGAAGUCGGAAUCGCUAGUAAUCGCGGAUCAGCAUGUCGCGGUGAAUACGUUCCCGGGUCUUGUACACACCGCCCGUCACACCAUGUGGCGGGUUUUACCAGAAGUAGUUAGCCUAACCGUAAGGAGGGCGAUUACCACGGUAGGAUUCAUGACUGGGGUGAAGUCGUAACAAGGUAA
rnacentral:misc_RNA from 1 species